UACGGAGGGGGCAAGCGUUGUUCGGAAUUACUGGGCGUAAAGGGCUCGUAGGUGGCCAACUAAGUCAGACGUGAAAUCCCUCGGCUUAACCGGGGAACUGCGUCUGAUACUGGAUGGCUUGAGUUCGGGAGAGGGAUGCGGAAUUCCAGGUGUAGCGGUGAAAUGCGUAGAUAUCUGGAGGAACACCGGUGGCGAAGGCGGCAUCCUGGACCGACACUGACACUGAGGAGCGAAAGCCAGGGGAGCAAACGGG
rnacentral:rRNA from 1 species